GAUCCUGGCUCAGGAUGAACGCUAGCUACAGGCUUAACACAUGCAAGUCGAGGGGAAACGACAUCGAAAGCUUGCUUUUGAUGGGCGUCGACCGGCGCACGGGUGAGUAACGCGUAUCCAACCUGCCCACCACUUGGGGAUAACCUUGCGAAAGUAAGACUAAUACCCGAUGAUAUCCCUAGAAGACAUCUGAAAGGGAUUAAAGAUUUAUCGGUGAUGGAUGGGGAUGCGUCUGAUUAGCUUGUUGGCGGGGUAACGGCCCACCAAGGCUACGAUCAGUAGGGGGUUCUGAGAGGAAGGUCCCCCACAUUGGAACUGAGACACGGUCCAAACUCCUACGGGAGGCAGCAGUGAGGAAUAUUGGUCAAUGGACGAGAGCCUGAACCAGCCAAGUAGCGUGCAGGAUGACGGCCCUAUGGGUUGUAAACUGCUUUUAUAAGGGAAUAAAGUGAGCCUCGUGAGGCUUUUGCAUGUACCUUAUGAAUAAGGACCGGCUAAUUCCGUG
rnacentral:rRNA from 1 species